AGUGAACGCUGGCGGUAGGCCUAACACAUGCAAGUCGAACGGCAGCACAGUAAGAGCUUGCUCUUACGGGUGGCGAGUGGCGGACGGGUGAGGAAUACAUCGGAAUCUACUUUUUCGUGGGGGAUAACGUAGGGAAACUUACGCUAAUACCGCAUACGACCUACGGGUGAAAGCAGGGGAUCUUCGGACCUUGCGCGAUUGAAUGAGCCGAUGUCGGAUUAGCUAGUUGGCGGGGUAAAGGCCCACCAAGGCGACGAUCCGUAGCUGGUCUGAGAGGAUGAUCAGCAAAACUGGAACUGAGACACGGUCCAGACUCCUAAGGGAGGCAGCAGUGGGGAAUAUUGGACAAUGGGCGCAAGCCUGAUCCAGCCAUACCGCGUGGGUGAAGAAGGCCUUCGGGUUGUAAAGCCCUUUUGUUGGGAAAGAAAAGCAGCAGGUUAAUACCCCGCUGUUCUGACGGUACCCAAAGAAUAAGCACCGGCUAACUUCGUG
rnacentral:rRNA from 1 species